rnacentral:rRNA from 1 species
UACGUAGGGGGCGAGCGUUGUCCGGAGUUACUGGGCGUAAAGCGCUUGUAGGCGGUCCACCAAGUUUGGGGUGACAGUUGCCGACUUAAUCGGCAAAGUGCCUCAAAGACUGGCGGACUUGAGGGCCACAGAGGGACAUGGAACUCCAGGUGUAGUGGUGAAAUGCGUAGAUAUCUGGAAGAACACCAAAGGCGAAGGCAGUAUCCUGGGUGGUCGCUGACGCUGAGAGGCGAAAGCCAGGGGAGCGAACGGG